AUUGAACGCUGGCGGCAUGCCUUACACAUGCAAGUCGAACGGCAGCAUGAUCUAGCUUGCUAGAUUGAUGGCGAGUGGCGAACGGGUGAGUAAUACAUCGGAACGUGCCCUGUAGUGGGGGAUAACUAGUCGAAAGAUUAGCUAAUACCGCAUACGACCUGAGGGUGAAAGUGGGGGACCGCAAGGCCUCAUGCUCUAGGAGCGGCCGAUGUCUGAUUAGCUAGUUGGUGAGGUAAAGGCCCACCAAGGCGACGAUCAGUAGCUGGUCUGAGAGGACGAUCAGCCACACUGGGACUGAGACACGGCCCAGACUCCUACGGGAGGCAGCAGUGGGGAAUUUUGGACAAUGGGCGAAAGCCUGAUCCAGCAAUGCCGCGUGUGUGAAGAAGGCCUUCGGGUUGUAAAGCACUUUUGUCCGGAAAGAAAUGGCUCUGGUUAAUACCUGGGGCCGAUGACGGUACCGGAAGAAUAAGGACCGGCUAACUACGUG
rnacentral:rRNA from 1 species